rnacentral:lncRNA from 1 species
AUUAUAGCAGCUGGAUUAAUUAUUCUUUAUAGUUAAAAUGAAUAUUUUUGUAUUAAAAUCAUUAUUAGCUUUAUUUCAUGUUGCCAAAUUCAAUAGUUGGGAUUUUAGAAGAAGUUAAUGAAAAAGUAUAUUAAGUUGUGUCCUGAUUGCUUCUGAUUUUGGAGGGGAUGGAAGAAGGUGUUAAUCUGAUUUAAGAAAAGCCUCCUUUCAGCAAUCUGAUUAAACUUAUCUUCUGUAACACUUUACCUUCACCUGCUUUUUCUUGCACCUUAUAGUCAGACACUGGGAACUAAUGCAGAUUGGGAGGUCAAAAGCUGCCAAGACACUUACCUUUAUCUGGAAAUGUUAGGACUUCUUGAUGAGAGAA